rnacentral:rRNA from 1 species
GACGAACGCUGGCGGCGUGCUUAACACAUGCAAGUCGAGCGGUAAGGCCCUUUCGGGGGUACACGAGCGGCGAACGGGUGAGUAACACGUGGGUGACCUGCCCUUAGCUCUGGGAUAAGCCUGGGAAACUGGGUCUAAUACCGGAUAUGACCUCAUGACGCAUGUUGUGGGGUGGAAAGCCUUGUGCGGCUAGGGAUGGGCCCGCGGCCUAUCAGCUUGUUGGUGGGGUGANGGCCUACCAAGGCGACGACGGGUAGCCGGCCUGAGAGGGCGACCGGCCACACUGGGACUGAGACACGGCCCAGACUCCGUACGGGAGGCAGCAGGUGGGGAAUCUUGCG